UACGUAGGGUGCAAGCGUUGUCCGGAAUUAUUGGGCGUAAAGAGCUCGUAGGCGGUUUGUCGCGUCUGCUGUGAAAACUCAGGGCUUAACCCUGAGCCUGCAGUGGGUACGGGCAGACUAGAGUGUGGUAGGGGAGGAUCGGAAUUCCUGGUGUAGCGGUGGAAUGCGCAGAUAUCAGGAGGAACACCGGUGGCGAAGGCGGGGUCUCUGGGCCGAUACUGACGCUGAGGAGCGAAAGCGUGGGGAGCGAACAGG
rnacentral:rRNA from 1 species